GAAUCGGAUCAAACACCUUAUCCGUGUCUCCAAUUUUUUUUUCUCUAUAAAUAGUAAUUCAUACUCUUCCCAUUUCUUUGCUUCAGUAUAGGCAUAGCUCUGAAAAAGUCACAGAGAGAGAAAGUGAGUAAGUAAGUGAGAGAGAGAGAGCUUUCGAAGGUGGUCUUCAUUUCAGCAUCCGGGGCAAGGCGAGUGGGGUGUGGAUAUCUUCUCAAACUCAAGUUUUCUGAUUAACUGAACAAUGGAGCAGAUCUGUGAUCUUCCGCGAGGUCUAGACUUUGAACAGAUAGAAUCAGCUAUAAGCCUUGAACUCUUAAACAGGGACAGGUCUGUAGAAGAAUCUAACAACUGCCAAAUCAAGUGGUGUCAGCUAACCACGUUGACGUGUGACUGCCAUGCUGUAUCAUUGUGAGUAAUAUAGCCUAAUUCAUGUCUGAUCUUGUGAAAGCAAUGUCCUAUUUCGUGAAUCACUUCGAGCCAGCGGUCUGGUGUUUACAACUGCCAAAUCAAGUGGUGUCAGCUAACCACGUUGACGUGUGACUGCCAUGCUGUAUCAUUUGUUACCUGAAGAGGAAUCUUUAGCAGCCAAAUCAACGGGUGUCUGUUGACCACAUUAAAGUUACUAGCCUGUUGUUCUACACCUGCUACACCUGCUGAUGCCAAAUUUACAAGGUGAAUGGCGAUGACCAUAAGAAGUCAGUUUUCUCACUUUGGCAUUUCACAGCUUCAUUUUAGCAAUGUCUGUGGGAUCGGCUUUGGCGAAUGUAGGAGUCAAUGUCAUCAUACUCAAGAGUCAAGUAUAAUUUCCCAGUGGAAUGUCCUCUACAUUGACCACUCGGAGAAGGCAGCUUUGUCAAUUGUUCGCUUAGUUAGUGGGUAAGGAGGCAGCUUUGUCAAUUGUGUAUUUGGCAGUGGAAGAUCUGUUGCAACAGAGCUCCCAUGAAGGCUUCCUCCUGUUCGCUUAGUUAGUGGGUAAGGAGGCAGGCCGUAACACAUUCUAACCUACAAAAAAGGGGGCUUUCAGUUUUGUGUGAAGAUUUUGGUGGCAAUUUACUUGGCAUAACUUGGACAACGCCAAAUCCACCUGUGAGCUGCUGCUUUUGCUGGGAAAGUAGAGACGUACUUGGCCUUAAACAUAGAUGCAUUUCUUUAUUAGCUUUUUGGUGUAAACUCAGCAUUGUACAUUAUGUAGAUGCAAUGACUGAUCUCAUAGGCGAUUUGCAGUCUGUAAUUAUCCUUUGUAAGACUGGCUCACUGCAAGUUUGCCAUUUAUAAAAAAAAAAAAAAAAUCUUUAUGGAUAUCAGCUAGUUUCCUUGAUCGGCUGCUGAUCUUGGGCUGCUGUCAUGUUUA